GCACAAGGCAUCUCUCCCCAUGAGAGGCAAGGUGUUGGAACACUGGCAUUUUAAUGAACAAAACAAAACCUUGCGUUGUUUAUCAGGUCAUAGGUUUUGAGGAAGCAGCGCUGUCCAUUUAAAGGGGACACUGUGGAUUUUAAUUGGCUUUAGUGAGUUCUUGAAGACAGCAGAGAGGACUUGGAACCUUAAGGUAGAUGAUUAUUGACAGAGUUUGGUGGUGGCAUUUUCCUGGCGAGAACUGGUGGUGAGGUCAUUGUUCAAGGUGUAGGAAACUGGCUAUUCGAUGUCUUUCAGGGUAGCUGCAGAUGUAGGAGGAGUGUGCCCUGAAGACUAGGCAGAGAGGGAAGUGUGACUGGGGAGUUUGGGGUGUGUUGUGCACCAGCAGUGUGCUCCCAGCGUGCAAAUAAUGCAAGAUAUUUCUGUGGGUUUAGUCUUAAUUGAUUCAUUCUAUCAGAAGGCUGGAAUAGAAUUGGAUUCAAACUUACAACCUAUGCGUCUGCAAAUGAUAAAACAGUCAGUUUUGCAGCGCUGAUUGUUUUUUUCUGGCCGACUAGAAAAGUAGUCAGUUUGUGUAGAAUCACACCUGCUUGUCCAACAACUCGGCUGAAGGCGCAGCUGAACACAUCUUUAAAUUUUGCUGUGUGUUUUCUUCUGCUUUUACUGAAAGUUGGGAUAGUUUGCCAAAUAUAUUGAUCCCCCAUAUGCUUUUAAGGAUAAAUGAUCGCAUCCAUUGGGCUAUAUAAGUGCAGGGUCUUUUAAUGUUUAUUUUAGAGAGUAUCAGGUUUUCCAGAGACACACACACACACAGCUCUGCAGGAUGGCGUCCAGUGGUAGCCCAAGAGACAUGACUCUUUUCUUUAUGACUGAAGCUCAGAUUCUUGUGAUGUGUUUCCUGAUCACGUUUGAAUUCACACAGCUACUUAGCGUGAUGAUAGCCUUACUGCCUUCACUCAUCAGUGUUACUUUAAUCUAGCACACGGAAGUGGUACAAGUCGUGCAUGGAUUAUUAUGGUAUAGUACUAAAUUUGAGUUUUUUUAAAGCAUGAAGGUAGAUACUGUGGUGCAGUUCAUUACAUGAUAUGAUGUUGUUGUUGUUUUGGUACCAGAGAUUGAACUCAGGACCUUGCGCUUGUGAGGCAGGAGGCAGAAGCACUGAGCUAAAUCCCUGGCCCCAUGAUAUGAUUUAAUUGUGAUCUUAAACUCCAUAUAUUUAUGCUAAGGAUGAUUUGUGCGUUUUGCCAGCAUGGGUGCAAAGUCCUUAGGGUUUGUGAACAGGAUUAGUACUUUCACUGCCAGGCUGUCUUUUGCCACCGAAGUUUGAUGGACGUUGGUGGGCAGUUAAUGACUUUGAAAGCAUGCUGUUGAUGUUGGCUGUAAUGAAAGUGCCCAGUAUUGAAAGAGUGAAGCGGAGUGGCGUUGGCUGCACUGGCUGGCGGAGGGGAUGCAUCCCAAAUGUUUCCUGGCCGCCCGCCCGAAGCUGCCUGCGGUUUCCUGGCUCCUCACCGGCUGCCCCCUGCCCGACCAGGACCCGGACCCUGCUCUCCGGCCACUGCUGCUCCUGCACCCAUGCUGUGGCUGGAGUUUGGCUUUGAGUUUUGCGCCUAAGUUGCCCGAGGGAGGGACUCCGGAGUCGGGCCGUGUUUCCCUGUCUUCGGCGGUGGCCGCAUCCCCCCUGCAGAGCAGAGCCCCCACCCGAAGCAUGCUCUGAGCCCCCAGCCCCAUCCCCAUCCCAGCAGUGACACCGAUAUUUGCUGGCUUAGGCUCCGCGCCAGUCCUACCUCAGUUCAGGGGAGCCGGGUGUGGGGAGGGGCCACUCGGGCUGCGUGUCUGGGGCCUGCAACUCUGGCUUUGGAAGAGCAUAGCGGGACUGCAGUCACUCUAUGUGGGGAGACCUGGGAUUGAACUUGGAAGACAGAGCCACAGAGUAGUUGGUGUCUCUGCAGCCCCUCAGUGUCAGAGCAUGGGGUGGAGAGAGGCCCCGGAGGGCAUGGAGAGCUCUUGACCCCUGACUGCUGCAUGGACGCCAGGCAGGUACCUCUGCAGGCAGAAGCCACUGCCACUGGCUCAGCUGUCUGUUGUCCCGCCGAGGACUGGCCUUUCCUUAACCAAAAGUGCAUGUGGGCAGCAAGCGAUUCCAGGCUGGUCUGGGUUUGGCAGAUUUUGUGUUUAAAAUGUAUUAUGAUCUUUAAAUAUGCCAGUCUGAUGUUGGCCACCAAGGCUACCCUGAAUUGAGAGAGAGAGAGCGCAUUCUGGCUCCCUCGCUGGUCAUGGGAAAGAUAAAGAAGGAAAGCAGUCUUGCAGGACGCCGUGCUUGUCAGAGAAACCCUCGACAGGAGGGGCACCCUGCUUCUCUGGUCAGUGUUCUGGAGAUGCCAGUGUGGUGGCCGCAACGGAAGCCAUCCCUGUCCCAGAGGCUCCGGACUCGUGGCUGGACCCCGCCCCAGUGCCUGUCUCCCCUGUCGUCCUGUAGAGGCCCCACUAAUUCUUGGAGAUGUGACUUGUUCAUUGGUUUCUUCUGUUGUUACUUUUUGUUUUGGAGAAAAAAAUAUUAUAUAUAUAUAUAAAUAUAUAGAUCUAUAUCAUUAUAGAGUAAUGCAUUAAUGAGGCUUUGUAGAGGAAGACCAAAAAUUUCAAUGUCUUAAGAUGUAUUUAAUGGCAAUGCAAAAGUCUUCCUGCUUUCGUGCUGAACUCUUUAGAAGCGAGGACUGUACUGCAAGACGAAGUUGAAUGUAAAGUGCUCCUGACCAUUUCUGAGGUUUUGCUUCUCUGAGCUACGCGUCGCAGCCAUGCAUAGUUGGUUUGAAGGCCGACUCCAUGUAUGAUACGCUUUGCUAAGAUGUGUAGAAUGUUCUGGAGCUUUCUCUCGUUAGGAAUCGGUGGGCGCAGCACCGUGGGCCGGAAGGGAACCUCAGCUGGCGCUCCCCACGCCCCGUGCAGCCUAAAUGAGCAGCCAAGAAGCUGAUAAUAUAUACUGAAUUUUCCUCUAUCCUGUACAUUUCAAAAAAAGGCACAUGCAAUAUUUACAUGUUUUAUUUAGUUUACAGAACGGAACCAAAAUGUAUGUUAUGUUUGCAAAAAUUUCACAAUGUAUAUUGGGUCUUUGUACAUUUUGCCUGACUUACCUUAAAUUUAAACUAUUUUUUGCUAUAUAAACUUUAACCGUUAUUAAACAGUGUUUUCUUUUGGGUAUGUAUUGUUUCUGGAUCUGGAGCUGUUAAAUAUAUUUCUUGCUAUUGUGUUAUGUCAGCACCUCCCCCCCAUCUUCCAUGCUGUACAUAGGGUUGGGAAUGAGCCAGGCUAGAGUAGUGCAUUGUAUUUAGUCUGUAUUGAUCAUGGAUACCCUCCUGAAUAGCCAUAUGCAAUAAAUAAAAUAAAUACAUUAUUUAUGAAAUGAAUAAAGC
ensembl:lncRNA